ensembl:lncRNA
UGAAACUACUAUUAAUUCUCAUUAGAAUAUUAGUGGAUGGUUAGGUUAGGGUUAAUAUAAUAAUUUAACAUCGAAUAUCAAAAUUAAAGUGUUAGCAGAUAUUAAGCAGACAAUCUACUCAUGGUCUGAUGACUGCUAGUUGACAUGUAGUUGCAAAAUUAUUCAUAGCCUAGUCCAGUGGUUCUCAAACCUGUCCUGGAGUACACCCAGUCCUGCACAUUUAGUAUAUCUCCCUCAUCUAUCACACCUGAUUCAACUCAUCAGCUCAUUAGUGGAGUCUGCAAGACCUGAAGUGGGUGUGUCAGAUAAUGUGCAGUGCUGGGGAAGCCAGCAGGGGGCGCACACCCUGUGGUCUGUGUGGGUCCUAGCACCCCAAUGUAGUGAUGGGGACUUAAAGCACAAAACACCUUCUCCCUUCACAUGCACAGCAGUGUUUGACAGGUGCAGCAAACAGAACAGGCAUAGUUAAUCAAUCAGUGAGCCGUGCAGUAGGAUGUGAUGGCAUGCGGGAUCUGUUACUCAUGCCUGGUGUGCAGCACUGAUGGCAACAUUCAUUAACAUUACUUUCACUUCACUUCCACAAUGUAAUGAGGCGGCUUCAGCCAGGCUGACUGUAAAGGCAGAAUGAGAAUGGGUCAUGUGGAUCUCUUUAACUCGACUCAUAAGAUGUGUUUACAUGGAGUUUGAGUCCAAUCCGGAUGAAAAUGCUCCAUGUAAAUACUUUAAUCAGAAUAAAAAUGCAGGGGUGGGAUAAACCUAAUCUGAACACUUAAUCAGAUUGAAAACCGAAACUGGGUGCCAUAAUAAUCAUCAUUGCACAAAGCUUUAUGUGCUUGUAGUUUUCUAAUUAGGACCCGGAAGAUAAAUACUAAGUCUGCUCUCAAAACCAAGAAAAGGAGGAUGGUUAGUAUGCGAAAACAUUCUGUGUAUUCCUGCAGUGUGCGCAUGUCAAAAGAUGAAAUCCAGUCUGAAGCUUGUGACACAUAGACACACACAUCAACCCGAGCACAUCAUUUAGCAUUCAUGUAAACACUAUGUUCACUUUAUAAUAAUUUCAUUGUUCAUUGUAAACAUGGCUACUGUUAGCUGAAACCUCUGAAUCUGCUAAUCAGAUUGAGUCAUGGUAAGAUGAUGGCUGUUCACACAGGAUAUGGAAAGUUAAUGCAUGAAGAAGCUUUAGCAUCGACUAUAGAUGAUGUGAUUUGGAGAAAUAGGUGACAGAUAAUGUACAGUAAAAUGAUCUUCAGAGACGCACUAAUGCUCACAGAUGCUUGCAUUUCUACAGGUCUGCUGUUACACACAAGAUCCUGUUUUCCUUGCAUUCAUCAUUCUUGACAGUGCUUUAUUUCACUCUCAAUGCAAUCUGUUUGAAUUAUGCUCAAACGCUCCCCGUACUUCACUGGCCAACUAGCCAUGUACUGAAUGAAUAACUGCGUAAUGAAAGUUUAAUGAAUACAUCGCUAAUGACUUUCUAUUGACCGUUUAUCCACUCAAACCACAUAACAAAGCUACUUCUCAUUAAAGUAUGCUAGCAUUCUUACCAACCACACCAUUUCUCUUUUCUCUGUCUCUAAUAUAAAAUACAAAAAUCUAUUUUAAGGUUAAAUCACAAGCCAAUUUCCUGGUAAUAGGAUUCUGCCAAGUCCAUUUUCUCUGGAAACUGAAGGUGGAUUCUUUUCCUGUCAGUGGAGGAAAACAAUUAUUUGAGUCCCUCUACAGCCAGUGAACAUCUGAAGUACUAUCACUGCUGGACUUUGCAAUUUACUGAUAAAAUUUUAACCAUGCAUCUAAACUCUGCGCCUAAACUCUGGAAUAACCUACCUAACAUUGUUCGAGAGGCAGACACACUCUUGCAGUUUAAAUCUAGAUUAAAGACCCAUCUCUUUAACCUGGCUUACACAUAACACACUAAUAUGCUUCUAAUAUCCAAAUCCGUUAAAGGAUUUUAAGGCUGCAUUAAUUACUGGAACCGGGAACACUUCCCAUAACACCCGAUGUACUUGCUACAUCGUUAGAAGAAUGGCAUCUACGCUAAUAUUAGUCUGUUUCUAUCUUAUUCUGAGGUCACCAUAGCCACCAGAUCCAGUCUGUAUCCAGAUCAGAGGGUUACUGCAGUCACCCGGAUCCAGUAUGUAUCCAGCCCAGAUGGUGGAUCAGCUCCUAGAAAGGACCUCUACAGCCCUGAAAGACAGCGGAGACCAGGACAACUAGAGCCCCAGAGACAGAUCCCCUGUAAAGACCUUGUCUCGGACGACCACCGGGACAAGACCACAGGAAACAGAUGAUUCUUCUGCACAAUCUGACUUUGCUGCAGCCUGGAAUUGAACUGCUGGUUUCGUCUGGUCAGAGGAGAACUGGCCCCCCGACUGAGCCUGGUUUCUCCCAAGGGUUUUUCUCCAUUCUGUCAUUGAUGGAGUUUUGGUUCCUUGCCGCUGUUGCCUCUGGCUUGCUUAGUAGGGGGCACUUCAUUAACAGCAAUAUUGUUGACUUGAUUGCAAAUGAUUGCACAGAUACUAUUUAAACUGUACUGAGCUGCAUGAUGACAUCACUGAAUUCAAUGAUGAACAGCCUUUAACUGUCAUUUUGCAUUAUUGACACACUGUUUUUCUAAUUAAUGUUGUUCAGUUGCUUUGACACAAUCUGUUUUGUUUGAAGCACUAUAUAAAUAAAGGUGACUUGACUUGACUUGACUACUGUACGCGAUAUCAACCUCUGAAUGUCUGCGUAUGAAGAGUUUUGAAGAGUGUCUGGAACCCAAGCAGACCAUUGUUCAAUCUGAUGUGAACAUGUUCGCAAUGUGCCUUUAUGAUGUAAAUACCAAAACCUGUUUCCUGAACCCUUUAAUUUUAAUUUGGCAGCAGUUGAUUUUAUAAUCUGACAUUGUUUUUGACAGCAUUUGUUUUGUACUGACGGUCAUCAUAUUCGCAGUGAAGUCAAAUGUAUAGAAAAUGUAUGGGUAGAUGCUUCUAGUUUGUAUUUAUU